rnacentral:rRNA from 1 species
AGUGAACGCUGGCGGUAGGCCUAACACAUGCAAGUCGAACGGCAGCACAGUAAGAGCUUGCUCUUACGGGUGGCGAGUGGCGGACGGGUGAGGAAUACAUCGGAAUCUACUUUUUCGUGGGGGAUAACGUAGGGAAACUUACGCUAGUACCGCAUGCGACCUACGGGUGAAAGCAGGGGAUCUUCGGACCUUGCGCGAUUGAAUGAGCCGAUGUCGGAUUAGCUAGUUGGCGGGGUAAAGGCCCACCAAGGCGACGAUCCGUAGCUGGUCUGAGAGGAUGAUCAGCCACACUGGAACUGAGACACGGUCCAGACUCCUACGGGAGGCAGCAGUGGGGAAUAUUGGACAAUGGGCGCAAGCCUGAUCCAGCCAUACCGCGUGGGUGAAGAAGGCCUUCGGGUUGUAAAGCCCUUUUGUUGGGAAAGAAAAGCAGCAGGUUAAUACCCCGCUGUUCUGACGGUACCCAAAGAAUAAGCACCGGCUAACUUCGUG